rnacentral:rRNA from 1 species
GGGGAAUCUUGCACAAUGGGGGCAACCCUGAUGCAGCGACGCCGCGUGAGCGAUGAAGCCCUUCGGGGCGUAAAGCUCUUUCGACCGGAACGAUAAUGACGGUACCGGGAGAAGAAGCUGCGGCUAACUACGUGCCAGCAGCCGCGGUAAUACGUAGGCAGCAAGCGUUGUUCGGAGUUACUGGGCGUAAAGAGUGCGUAGGCGGUUUUCUAAGUUCGGUGUGAGAUCUCCCGGCUUAACUGGGAGGGUGCGCCGAAGACUGGGAAGCUGGAGUGUGGGAAAGGCAGGCGGAAUUCCUGGUGUAGCGGUGAAAUGCGUAGAUAUCAGGAGGAACACCGGCGGUGUAGACGGCUUGCUAGACCAUAACUGACGCUGAGGCACGAAAGCGUGGGUAGCAAAC